ACAAUGGGGGAAACCCUGAUGGUGCGACGCCGCGUGGGUGAUGAAGGUUUUCGGAUCGUAAAACCCUUUCAGCAGGGACGAAGGCGAGUGCGGUUAAUAUCCGCAAAUGUCAGACGGUACCUGCAGAAGAAGCUCCGGCUAACUCCGUGCCAGCAGCCGCGGUAAGACGGAGGGAGCAAGCGUUGUUCGGAUUUACUGGGUGUAAAGGGCGUCUAGGCGGGCUGAUUAGUCAGAUGUGAAAUCCUCCGGCUCAACCGGAGAACUGCAUUUGAUACUGUCAGCCUUGAGUACGGAAGAGGAAAGCGGAAUUCCUGGUGUAGCGGUGAAAUGCGUAGAUAUCAGGAAGAACACCGGUGGCGAAGGCGGCUUUCUGGUCCGUUACUGACGCUGAAGCGCGAAAGUGUGGGGAGCAAACAGGAUUAGAUACCCCGGUAGUC
rnacentral:rRNA from 1 species